rnacentral:rRNA from 1 species
UACGUAGGGCGCAAGCGUUAUCCGGAAUUAUUGGGCGUAAAGAGCUCGUAGGCGGUUUGUCGCGUCUGCCGUGAAAGUCCGGGGCUCAACUCCGGAUCUGCGGUGGGUACGGGCAGACUAGAGUGAUGUAGGGGAGACUGGAAUUCCUGGUGUAGCGGUGAAAUGCGUAGAUAUCUGGAGGAACACCGGUGGCGAAGGCGGCAUCCUGGACCAACACUGACGCUGAUGAGCGAAAGCCAGGGGAGCAAACGGG